CAGGUCCCUGGGGGAAGGUGACACGGGGUGGAACCUCCAGGCCUGGAAGGACAGGAGCCCCAGAGGGAUCUGUCCAAAAGCUUGGCAGCAGCGGCGACACCAUUAGCCUGGAGUGGCCAAGCUGGAGUUGGAAGUGGAGUUCCGUGGGUUUGGGGCCGCGCCUGCCGCACAGCGGCUCCUCCAGGCCGAGACCCCGGCGCAGAAUGAACAGAAGGCAGCGACCUCCCGGAGGAGUGGCCGGGCCAGGAGCACGCUGAGCUGCUUCUCCACCGCGGUCCUGUAUGCAGCCUUCCUGGGGCUGCUCUUCCAUGAGGACUCCUGUAGGGCAGAGAUUGUGGAAGGAUCCAGCAGCUCCAGGCAGUCAUGCAAGCUGACCCUGAAUCAGAGCUCCCAGGCUGAUCCUCCUGCCUCAGCCUCCUGAUCACUUAUAACUACAUGUAUGGCUGUUGUCCCAAGCUCUUGUAUAUACUUAAAGAUACAAACAUGAUUAUGACUUACAUUA